AUGGAAUUCCAGUUCCCUUACUCUCCUCUGGAGGUUGCGACGCCGAGCUCGGUCCAGUUCGGCAUCCUCAGCCCCGGCGAGAUCAGGCAAAUGUCUGUGCUGGAGGUUGACAAUUGCAGUACAAUGCUGAACGGGAAGCCGGUGAGAGGCGGCUUGAGCGAUCUGAGGCUCGGUCCGAUUGAUCGGAGCAAUCGGUGUGAGACUUGUGCUAAUAACUUGAGCGAGUGCCCGGGGCAUUUCGGUCACAUUGAGCUUGCCAAGCCGGUGUUCCACUUCGGAUUUAUGAAGACUGUGCUGUCUGUAAUGCGCUGCGUGUGCUUCAGUUGCUCGAAAAUUCUGCUUGAUGAGGAAGAUGAUAAGUGUAAACAAAUUUUGAGAAUCAAGAAGCCUAAAGAUAGGCUAAGAAAGUUUGUGGAUGCAUGCAAGAACAAAACCAAGUGUGAAGGUGGUGAUGAAAUUGAUCUGCAAGGUGGAAAAUCUGGUCAACAUGUAAAGCAAAGUCGGGGUGGCUGUGGUGCUCAGCAGCCCAAGUUCUCUAUAGAUGGUUUGGAACUGCUUGCAGUGUACAAAUCACAGAGGAAACAAUAUGAUGAGGAACAGCUUCCUGAACCUACGGAAAGGAAACAAAUCCUUACUGCAGAAAAGGUUCUUAGUGUACUGAAGAGAAUAAGUGACGAGGACUGCCAAUUGUUGGGACUCAACCCUGAAUAUUCUCGACCGGAUUGGAUGAUUUUACAAGUUUUGCCUAUUCCUCCACCAGCUGUGAGACCCUCAGUGAUGAUGAGCAGCUCUGCCAUGAGUGAGGAUGAUUUAACACAUCAGUUGUCCAUGAUUAUUCGCCACAACCAGAAUCUGAGGAAACAGGAAAAACAUGGUUCUGCUGCUCAUAUCAUUUCACAGUUUACACAAAUCUUGCAAUACUACAUAUCCACAUAUUUUAACAAUGGCUUGCCUGGACUACCAAGGGCUACUCAUGGAUCGACAAAGAGGCCUAUUAAAUCAAUAUGUUGUAGACUUCAGGCAAAGCACGGCCGGAUUAGAGGAAACUUGAUGGGGAAGAGAGUUAACUUCUCAGCACGGACAGUUAUUACACCAGAUCCAAACCUUAGCCUUGAUGAAUUAGGAAUACCAUGGAGCAUUGCUAUGAAUCUCACAUACACAGAGACUGUGACUCCAUUUAAUAAAGAAAGGUUGAAGGAACUUGUUGAGCAUGGGCCCCAUCCCCCACCUGGGCUAACUGGUGCAAAGUACAUCAUACGAGAUGAUGGACAAAGACUUGAUCUUCGUUAUGUGAAGAAAGAUAGUGAUCAUCAUUUGGAGCUUGGUUAUAAGGUGGAGCGUCAUCUAAAGGAUGGGGACUUAGUCCUCUUAAAUCGUCAACCUAGUCUCCAUAAAAUGUCAUUCAUGGGGCACAGAAUCAAAAUCAUGCCUUACUCAACUUUUCGCUUGAACUUAUCCGUGACUUCACCUUAUAAUGCUGAUUUUGAUGGGGAUGAAAUGAAUGUCCAUGUUCCUCAGUCACUUGAAACUAGGGCAGAAGCUUUGGAGCUCAUGAUGGUGCCCAAAUGCAUUGUUUCCCCUCAGUCAAACCGACCUGUAAUGGGAAUAGUCCAAGAUACACUGUUAGGUGCUCGGAAAAUUACAGAAAGGGAUACUUUAUAGAGAAGGACGUUUUUAUGAACAUCUUGAUGUGGUGGGAGGAUUUUGACGGGAAAGUGCCUGCUCCUGCAAUAUUGAAGCCACGGCCUCUUUGGACUGGGAAACAGGUUUUUAAUCUCAUAAUACCAAAGCAGAUAAAUCUCCAGAGAAUUUCAUCGUGGCACUCUGAAUCAGAAAGUGGUGACAUUACCCCUGGUGAUACUUUCGUGAGAAUAGAAAAAGGGGAGUUACUUUCUGGAACACUUUGCAAAAGGGCACUUGGGACUUCUACAGGAAGUCUUAUACAUGUCAUAUGGGAAGAGGUUGGUCCAGAUGUAGCCUCCAAAUUCCUUAGUAAUACCCAGUGGCUGGUGAAUUACUGGCUGUUGCAGAAUGGUUUUACUAUUGGAAUUGGAGAUACAGUUGCUGAUGCGGCAACAAUGGAAAAGAUCAAUGAAGCUAUUUACAAGGCAAAAAAUGAAGUGAAAGAACUUAUCAGUAAAGCCCAAUCGAGGCAGCUGGAGGCUGAACCAGGACGAACUAUGAUGGAAUCCUUUGAAAACAAAGUGAACCAGGUCUUGAAUAGAGCUCGUGACGAUGCUGGAAGUAGUGCUCAAAAGAGUUUGUCUAAGAGUAACAAUCUCAAGGCUAUGGUUACAGCCGGAUCAAAGGGAAGUUUUAUCAAUAUAUCACAGAUGACUGCUUGUGUUGGACAGCAGAAUGUUGAGGGUAAACGAAUUCCAUAUGGCUUCAUAGACCGUACUUUGCCACAUUUCACUAAGGACGACUAUGGACCUGAAAGUCGUGGCUUUGUAGAGAAUUCAUACCUUCAAGGACUAACUCCACAGGAGUUCUUUUUUCAUGCUAUGGGAGGUAGGGAAGGUCUUAUAGAUACUGCAGUCAAGACAUCUGAGACUGGUUAUAUCCAGAGGAGACUGGUGAAGGCUAUGGAGGAUAUUAUGGUCAAAUAUGAUGGGACUGUGAGAAAUUCAUUGGGGGACAUCAUACAGUUUCUCUAUGGAGAAGAUGGCAUGGAUGCUGUAUGGAUAGAGUCUCAAAAGCUGGAUUCUCUAAAAAUGAAAAAGAAGGAGUUCGACGAGACUUUUGCCUAUGUGUUGGAUGAUGAAAAUUGGAAUCCAGACUAUAUGUUGCCUGAACAUGUUGAGGAUCUAAAAACUAUUAGAGAGUUUCGCAACGUGUUUGAUGCGGAAGUUUCAAAACUUGAAACUGAUAGGCUUCAACUUGGCACUGAGAUUGCUGUCACAGGUGAUAAUUCUUGGCCUUUGCCUGUCAACCUGAAGAGGCUCAUUUGGAAUGCACAAAAAACUUUUAAAAUCGACUUCAGACGGACUUCUGAUAUGCAUCCAAUGCAAAUUGUUGAGGCUAUUGAUAAACUCCAAGAGAGGCUGAAGGUUGUUCCUGGUGAUGACUUGUUAAGUCUUGAAGCUCAAAAUAAUGCCACACUCUUCUUCAACAUGUUGCUUCGCAGCACUUUCGCUAGCAAAAGGGUGCUAAAAGAGUACAAGCUUACUCGUGAAGCAUUUGACUGGGUUAUUGGCGAGAUAGAGGCACGCUUCCUGCAAUCAGUUGUAUCACCUGGGGAAAUGAUUGGUAUUGUUGCUGCACAAUCUAUUGGUGAGCCUGCCACUCAGAUGACUCUCAAUACAUUCCACUAUGCUGGUGUAAGUGCAAAGAAUGUUACUCUCGGUGUUCCAAGGUUGAAGGAAAUUAUUGAUGUAUCUAAGAGUAUCAAAACACCAUCUCUCUCUAUCUACUUGAAGCCUGAAGCUAAUAAAACCAAGGAGAAGGCCAAGAAUGUUCAGUGUGCUUUGGAAUACACUAACCUCGGAAGUGUUGCUCAAGCUACUGAAGUGUGGUAUGAUCCGGACCCUAUGAGCACACUAAUUGAGGAGGAUUUUGAAUUUGUCCAAUCUUACUAUGAAAUGCCAGAUGAAGAUGUUAAUCCUGAAAAGAUAUCUCCUUGGUUGCUUCGCAUAGAGAUGAAUCGUGAAAUGAUGGUGGAUAAGAAACUGAGUAUGGCUGACAUUGCUGAGAAGAUUAGUCAUCUGUAUAGUGGUGAUAUACAGUGUAUCUUUAAUGAUGACAAUUCUGAGAAGUUGAUACUUCGAAUCCGUCUCAUGGAUGAAGAAGCACCACAUAAUGAAGUGAUUGGUCAAUCAGAAGAUGAUGUUUUCCUGAAGACGCUUGAAGCUUCCAUGCUGACAGAGGUAGCUCUUAAAGGGAUUACAGAUAUAAAAAAAGUGUUCAUAAAGCAUGGUAAAGUAAACAAGUUUGAUCAGAAUGAAGGGUUUAAUGCGGAGCAAGAGUGGAUGCUAGAUACUGAAGGUGUUAAUCUCUUAGCUGUCAUGUGCCAUGAGGAUGUUGAUGCCAAGAGGACAACAAGCAAUCACUUGUAUGAGAUUAUGGAAGUUCUUGGAAUUGAGGCAGCACGACGGGCAUUGCUGGAUGAGUUGCGUAAUGUUAUAUCGUUUGAUGGAUCCUAUGUAAAUUACCGGCACCUGGCCAUUCUUUGUGAUACGAUGACCUAUCGUGGCUACUUGAUGCCCAUCACUCGUCAUGGUAUCAAUCGAAAUGACACUGGUCCUAUGAUGAGGUGCUCGUUUGAGCAAGCAGUGGAUGUUCUGUUGGAUGCUUCAGUUUUUGCAGAAACAGAUCAUCUGAGGGGUGUAACAGAAAACAUAAUGCUAGGCAAGCUGGCACCAAUUGGCACUGGAGACUGUGCCCUGUAUCUGAACGAAGAGAUGUUACAAAAUGCUAUGGAAAUGCAGCUACCUGGUUAUACAGAUGGCCUUGAUGUUGGCAUGACACCGUCCCAUUCUCCAUAUCUUGACAGCAUACUAUCUCCUAGUUAUUUGCAGAGCCCUAGUAAUCUGCUUUCACCGAUGUUGGAUGCGGCACAGUUUUCUCCAUACGUUGCGGGAAUUAACUUUUCUCCUCGUUCAUCUCCAGGCUAUCCUCCAUCUGUAUGCAGUCCCACCUCCCCAUACUAUAGCCCCACAUCACCACAUUACACCCCAACCAGUCCUCCCUAUUCUCCUUCAUGUCCAUCUUUCACGCCACCAGGUUGUCCACCCAGUACUGUCUACCCUCCGUCUGUAUACAGUCCCACCUCCCCAUACCAUAGCCCCACUUCACCAUGUUAUACCCCAACCAGUCCUCCUGCACGUCCAUCUUUCACGUCACCAGGUAGUCCACCCAGUACUGUCUAUUCUCUUACAAGUCCAUAUUACUCACCUACCUCACCCAGCUACACCCCUCCCUCUGCGACAUCAACUGCUUAUAGCCCAACUUCACCUUCAUACGACCAAACACGACCUCCUUACAGCCUGACUGCAUAUAGUCCCACUUCUCCUUUGUACAUCCCAACUUCACACCCCUACAGCCCGACCUCUCCAAACUACAGCCCUACUUCACCAUUAUACAGCCCCACAUCGCCCUACUACAGCCCCACAUCGCCCUCCUACAGCCCCACAUCGCCCUCCUACAGUCCCACAUCGCCGUCAUACAGCCCCACAUCUCCAUACAGUCUAACUUCACCAGCAUAUUCCCCAACAUCUCCAACUUACUCCCCAUCGAGCCCCACUUACAGUCCCAGCAGCUUAUUAACCACCUCUGGAGUGAGCCCAGACUAUUCCCCAAGUUCUCCACAGUACAGUCCAAGUGGUGAGGACUCCCCAUCUAGCCAAUAUUCUAUGCCGACUAGCGAAAAGGAUGACAAGGAUGACAAGGAUGACUGA